rnacentral:rRNA from 1 species
AUUGAACGCUGGCGGCAGGCUUAACACAUGCAAGUCGAGCGGAGAUGAGGUGCUUGCACCUUAUCUUAGCGGCGGACGGGUGAGUAAUGCUUAGGAAUCUGCCUAUUAGUGGGGGACAACAUUCCGAAAGGAAUGCUAAUACCGCAUACGUCCUACGGGAGAAAGCAGGGGAUCUUCGGACCUUGCGCUAAUAGAUGAGCCUAAGUCGGAUUAGCUAGUUGGUGGGGUAAAGGCCUACCAAGGCGACGAUCUGUAGCGGGUCUGAGAGGAUGAUACGCCACACUGGGACUGAGACACGGCCCAGACUCCUACGGGAGGCAGCAGUGGGGAAUAUUGGACAAUGGGGGGAACCCUGAUCCAGCCAUGCCGCGUGUGUGAAGAAGGCCUUAUGGUUGUAAAACACUUUAAGCGACGAGGAGGCUACUGAGACUAAUACUCUUGGAUAGUGGACGUUACUCGCAGAAUAAGCACCGGCUAACUCUGUGCCAGCCGCCGCCGUAA